AUCUAAAGGGCUUCAGAACUCC
rnacentral:miRNA from 1 species